rnacentral:lncRNA from 1 species
UUUUUUUAUUUAACCUGGAACUUUCCUAUAUUUUAUGCUUUCCGCGAAUUGAACUCUUGUAACUAAACCGUUCUAUAUUCAAUUAAGGAAUAGAGUUCAAAAAGUUUUUGUUUUCAUUGUUUAAUCAGCAAUUUAUUAUUUAUUUAUUUUUCAUAAAUCUAAAACAAAAAAGGUAUUUUGACGACAAAAUAGAAAGAAAAGAACCUAUUUUGCAUCGCUCAAAAUUGACAAUUAGUCAUACAAAAUUUCAUUAAGCAAUUUUCUCUAUUGGGUUAAGGGCAAGAUAUACAUGGGGUCUAUAUAAUAAUUCAGAGAAAAUAAAAAGUUAUAAAGUUAGACAAAACACAAAGGUUGCAAAAUAGAAUCAAUUAGUUUCAAUGAGUUCUUAACUUUCACUAAAGA